UGUUAAAAGAUUACGAUUUGCUUUGCUCUGUUUUUCCUCAGAGUAUGUGCAUAUGUGAUUUAUAUAUUUGUAGUACUGAAUAUAAACGGACCUUAAGAAGUAUUGGAGGCAAAGAAACCCGACUCCAGCUGCAAAAGAAUCUUCUAGCAAUUGAUUAGACAUGUAUGACUACCAUUCAGUUUUCUCCCUACUAGAAGUGGGAAAGAAGACAAGAGUGCACCAUUUAAAUGGAUCCGAACCAUAUACUGACACUAAGUAAGUUUAAGGCAUUGCACAGAUCCACUUGCAAGACCCGAAAUCCAUGUGGUUCUGGUUAGAUUAAAUAAGAACGGAGUCAUUUUAUAAAGGAGAGAUUCUGGUUGGGUGCGCAACAUCAACCCAUCUACGAGAUCGGACCAUAAAAGGGCAAACGCAAGCAUCUCAAUGGAAAAAGCCAGAUAAAUCAAAAGCCACCUUUAAUGGACCCAUUAAAACUUCCACCCACGCAACCGCCUAUCACCGAAAUCCGUGAAAGAACUAUGCCGCCAACACCUCAACGCCGUACGAAAACCCGUCUAAUCCGCACAGCCCUAAAGGCCAGGUUUAUAGCCAAAUUUUAAGAGCUCUACGCCUGCCGGAACGGCACUACGAUCGAGCACUUUCACUGUGGGCCCAAAACGAGAAGGCUGAAUACAAAUUGUGCAACAUGCGCCCAACGGUUAAAGUGAAAAAAUACCUGGAUAUGCCCGUCAUAAUUUUUGAAGUGUCAUAAAAAUAUCUCCAUAAGCAGACGAAACUAUUAAAUUGGCUCAUUAAUCAAUUUAGUCACAGAGCAACGAUAAAAAGGAGCACACACGCGAGGGAUUGGAGCACAAUAAAGCCCGCUCAUCAGGCGGGGGGUCUCUGUCCCCCUCCUACCUGCGAUGGCGACUGGGAGUGGGCCUGGGCCUGGCCAACAAUCGAAUCCAUUUAUUCAGCCCUGUGUUCGGGCUGGCUUUAAAAACCUAUAAAGCUUUUGGCACAAAUCAAUUAAA